UACUUGGUGUGAAUGCAGAUCCCGUGAACCAUCGAGUCUUUGAACGCAAGUUGCGCCCGAAGCCAUCCGGCCGAGGGACGUCUGCCUGGGCGCAGCAUCGCGUCGC
rnacentral:rRNA from 1 species